ACCAAGGGAAGGUUAAUGGUUACGGCUUCUGCCUCACAAGCAGAAGGUUCAGGGAUCAAUUCCCGGUCGGUA
rnacentral:tRNA from 1 species